UGGAUGCCUUAGAAUGUGUUGUCUUGCUGU
rnacentral:piRNA from 1 species